rnacentral:sRNA from 1 species
GCGGGAAGAGCUCAAAUUUUGAAUCUGGCGGUCUUCAGGCUGUCCGAGUUGUAAUCUAGAGAAGCGUCUUCCGCGCUGGACCGUGUACAAGUCUCCUGGAAGGGAGCGUCAUAGAGGGUGAGAAUCCCGUCUUUGACACGGACUACCAGUGCUAUGUGAUGCGCUCUCGACGAGUCGAGUUGUUUGGGAAUGCAGCUCAAAAUGGGUGGUAAAUUCCAUCUAAAGCUAAAUACAGGCGAGAGACCGAUAGCGAACAAGUACCGUGAGGGAAAGAUGAAAAGAACUUUGGAAAGAGAGUUAAACAGUACGUGAAAUUGCUGAAAGGGAAACGCUUGAUGUCAGUCGCGUCGUCCGGGGAUCAACCUUGCUUCUCGCUGGGUGUACUUCCCGGUAGACGGGUCAGCAUCAGUUUCGGUCGUCGUACAAGGGCGAGGGGAACGUGGCACUCUUCGGAGUGUGUUAUAGCCUUUCGUCGUAUGCGGCGGGUUGGGACUGAGGAACUCAGCACGACUUCCGUCUGUGCUUAGGAUGCUGGCAUAAUGGCCUUAAGCGACCCGUC